CAGGAAGUUUCCAGUUCGUUCCUGCUGGGACCUGGCAAGAGUUGCACUGUCAAGGCUGCAAGAGGAAUUCAUUGUUCAUUUGGAAAAUGUACAACAACUCACCAUGGCUCUUUCGGCUCCUGACGGCUUCUGAUGUGUACAGACUGGAAUAAGAGAACCUAGCAGAAAUGGAAGCAGAGGCAAGAGGUCUGGAGGCCAGGAAAAUGUCAAUGGAAAGCAGCUAGCAUGAAGACCCCACAGUGUUCCUCCCUCUACUACUCUGGUAUUAAUCUGGAGCUGAGAUGCUCCCAAUAUGGUUGGGACGUUUGUCCCCUCCAAAUCUCAUAUGAGAAUUUGAUCCCCAGUUUGUGGGAUGGGGUCUGGUGGGAGGAGUUUGGGUCAUGAUGGGGACCCAUCAUGAAUGGCUUGGUACCCUGCUCACCAGGAAUGAAUGAGCUCUCACUCUACUAGUUCACUGGAGAGCUGGUUGUUUAAAGAGCCUGGCAUCUCCCCCACUUUCUCUCUUGCUCCCCCAUCUCACUGUGAUAAACCUGCUCCCCUUUGCCAUCGAUCAUGAGUGGACACUUCUUGAAGCCUUCACCUGAAGCAGAUGCUGACACUGUGCUUCAUGUACAGCCUGCCAUACCAUGAGUCAAAAUAAACCUCUUUUCUUUGUAAAUU